AAACGCUACCGGCAGGGCUAAUAACAUGCAAGUCGAACGGUGUCUUCGGACAUAGUGGCGCACGGGUGCGUAACACGUAUGCAACCUACCUUACAUUGGGGGAUAGCCUUUCGAAAGGGAGAUUAAUACCGCAUAAGACAGUAGCUGGGCAUCCAGCAGCUGUUAAAGAUUUAUCGAUGUAAGCUGGGCAUGCGUCCAAUUAGCUAGUUGGUGAGGUAAUGGCUCACCAAGGCAAUGAUUGGUAGGGGAACUGAGAGGUCAAUCCCCCACACUGGCACUGAGAUACGGGCCAGACUCCUACGGGAGGCAGCAGUAGGGAAUAUUGGGCAAUGGACGCAAGUCUGACCCAGCCAUGCCGCGUGCAGGAUGAAGGCGUUAUGCGUUGUAAACUGCUUUUAUACAGGAAGAAACGACUCUUGCGAGAGGCAUUGACGGUACUGUAUGAAUAAGCACCGGCUAACUCCGUGCCAGCAGCCGCGGUAAUACGGAGGGUGCAAGCGUUGUCCGGAUUUAUUGGGUUUAAAGGGUGCGCAGGUGGUUUAUUAAGUCAGUGGUGAAAGACGGUCGCUCAACGAUUGCAGUGCCAUUG
rnacentral:rRNA from 1 species